UCGGAGAGUUUGAUCCUGGCUCAGGACGAACGCUGGCGGCGUGCCUAAUACAUGCAAGUCGAGCGAACAGAAGGGAGCUUGCUCCCGGAUGUUAGCGGCGGACGGGUGAGUAACACGUGGGUAACCUGCCUGUAAGACUGGGAUAACUCCGGGAAACCGGAGCUAAUACCGGAUAGUUCCUUGAACCGCAUGGUUCAAGGAUGAAAGACGGUUUCGGCUGUCACUUACAGAUGGACCCGCGGCGCAUUAGCUAGUUGGUGGGGUAAUGGCUCACCAAGGCGACGAUGCGUAGCCGACCUGAGAGGGUGAUCGGCCACACUGGGACUGAGACACGGCCCAGACUCCUACGGGAGGCAGCAGUAGGGAAUCUUCCGCAAUGGACGAAAGUCUGACGGAGCAACGCCGCGUGAGUGAUGAAGGUUUUCGGAUCGUAAAGC
rnacentral:rRNA from 1 species